rnacentral:snoRNA from 1 species
UAUUUUUGGUCUUUGAUGUGCUUUUGUCUGAAAUAUAAAUGAAGAUUUUACAGCAUUCGUCACUACCACUGAGACUUAAAAACA